rnacentral:rRNA from 1 species
GGCGGACGGGUGAGUAAUGUCUGGGAAACUGCCUGAUGGAGGGGGAGUAACUACUGGAAACGGUAGCUAAUACCGCAUAACGUCGCAAGACCAAAGAGGGGGACCUUCGGGCCUCUUGCCAUCGGAUGUGCCCAGAUGGGAUUAGCUAGUAGGUGGGGUAACGGCUCACCUAGGCGACGAUCCCUAGCUGGUCUGAGAGGAUGACCAGCCACACUGGAACUGAGACACGGCCCAGACUCCUACGGGAGGCAGCAUG